UAGGGAAUAUUGGACAAUGGGUGAGAGCCUGAUCCAGCCAUGCCGCGUGCAGGAAGAAGGCGUUAUGCGUUGUAAACUGCUUUUUGCCAGGGGAUAAAAAGACCGUGCGCGGUUAAUUGAAGGUACCUGGUGAAUAAGCCACGGCUAACUACGUGCCAGCAGCCGCGGUAAUACGUAGGUGGCAAGCGUUGUCCGGAUUUAUUGGGUUUAAAGGGUGCGUAGGUGGCCCUGUAAGUCAGUGGUGAAAUAUCUCAGCUUAACUGAGAGGGUGCCAUUGAUACUGCAGGGCUUGAGUACAGAUGAGGUAGGCGGAAUUGACGGUGUAGCGGUGAAAUGCAUAGAUAUCGUCAAGAACACCGAUAGCGAAGGCAGCUUACCAAGCUGUAACUGACACUGAGGCACGAAAGUGUGGGGAUCAAACAGGAUUAGAUACCCUUGUAGUCCCUGAGCGGGCUGGCAAGGCG
rnacentral:rRNA from 1 species